AAAAGUCCCGCAACAAACGAGAUCAGUCUCAAUUUGCAACACAGCAAGAGAGAGUUUAUUCAACUAAGCAAGCAGCAAAGUGAGCAAAACAGCGCGGGGUGGCCGGGGAGUCAGUGCUCCGCCAACGGCUCGCAAUCUAAGCGGGGUUUGAGUCCUUUUUUUAAGCAGUCCUUAUCUCCUGUAUGCGUGGCCCUUCCUGAGUACUCUGCCUUGCUUCUGCGUCUGCGCGGGCUGUUGCUGGGGAGGGAGGGGUCGGGAUCUGCCUCCUGGUGGUCGCUCGGAUGAAGGAAAACACAGUGGUCAGUCUGCCCUUGUCCACUAACUCAUGAUCCCAGGAAUAUGGAUUAAUGGUGUCAUGGUUCUGUGAUUUUUUGUUGUCAGUAUUCCACAUCAUAACAUCAUGUAAAGCACCAGCUAAUGUCCCAGUUUUUCUGGGGACUGCUUUUUUUGGGUGUUCUCGUUCUCUGAGGAGCAGGGGAGGAGCUGCACUCCCCAGGGGUCUUUGUGUCUGGAGGGGUGGUGAAGUCGCCUGGUAGACCGAGCCUGCUUCCUUCCUUUCUACCCGGCGGAGAAGCACGUGGUCCCCCUGCAGCUUACGGAGUAAGAAUCUCAACUUGAAACUCUCUCUGUUUGAUGUACUGGCCUCAAUUUCGAUAUAAUAUUUAGUAAAUUAACGUUCCUCCUCAGAUUGGUGCCGCUGUUUUACAUCCGUCUACCAGUUCUUUACCUUCCCCCUUUUCCCUUUGUUUUCCCCGGGGCGGGUCCGCCCGUCCCCUGCCGCAUUAGCCGCCAGACCAGUCUGGGCUGGCCCCUACACCAUCGGCAGUUUUUUUUCCUUCUUUCUUUCUUUCUUUCUUUUUUUUUUUUUUUUCUGGGCCUGUGGGGCCGUGGGCCCGUCGUCCCCCCUGUCACGGACACAGAUCCUUAGAUAACGCCCUGACAAAUGCAGAGUGGAAAACGUGGGUGCUAACACAGUUCAUGGACAUACCUUCUGUAAAGAAUAGUCAAAACAGAGAGAGAAAAGGAAGAUAGCAUCCUCCAUGAGAAGUGAUCAGUAAGAAAAGGAUGAGGAAGGGAGAGGAAGGCUGUGCCUGCAUUAAGAUACAGUGCAGACUAAAAGAAGUGAAUCUAUGGAGUGAAACAGGUGCUAAUGAGGACCAACCACCAACACUACAAACACUGCAUGUGUUUUGGGAUUAGAGAGAUUACUUCAAACUCUCAUUUGUCUGGUCCCAUGAGCCUACAAGAGCCUUUACGAGCUUUUUUUUAAUUAUUUUUUUUUAUUCUGUAACUUUUGUAAUA